rnacentral:lncRNA from 1 species
AUGGCUGAGAAAUGAUGGAGGAAGCGAGUGAGACUGAAGAGAUGAAGAAACUGAGGCACACAGAGAGAGACCCGGACGUGGUAUUCCCAGCAGUAUUCAGAUGACGAAACUGAGUCCCAGAGGAAUGGAGUAACUUGCUGAAGUUCACCCAGCAACUGCUGGAGCUGGAAAAGGAAGAAAGUACCAGAUUCCACACUGGGAUUGAUAUGUGUGGGACAAAGGUAGCUGGUUCAGAAACUGGAGCUAAAAACCUUGAGAAGAGGCCCCUUGGAAGUGGCAGCAAUCUGGAGGAGAGCUUUGGGUUUCCAAAGGCCACAGAAUGGGUGGGAGGCACAAAGGCUACUGCUCUAGAACUCCCUUCUUCUUACUCCUGAAAUGUUGGAUGAUGCUAUGGGAAACAGAUGAGUUUGUCCAGGGAACCAUGUGGAGUAUGAACAGAAGGAAGGCAAGAAAGGAACUCAUCAAACGGAUUGAAGAUAAGAGAUGGGAGGGCCCGGGACAUCUUCCAUGGUGGCUCCUGUCCAUGGGACACCUGGCUGGUACCCACAGAAAGUUGGCUUCCAGCCGUGCUUGAGUGAGAACAGUGAGGGCCCUUGCCUUCCUACAGUGAUUACUCGAUAAAUGAUCACUGUCAUUGUCACAUAAUAACGUGGCUAUUAUGAUCAUGGACAGAGCAAAAAUAAGUGACUGUUUUUCAAGAGUCUAUUUGGUGUAGACUUCUCCAGAGGCAGAACUGUGGAAUAAAAUUAUUUCCAGUGGUCCCUCCCAGCCCCUUGGCUCCGUAAUUCUCCCACUUUAAUAUGUGACUAGUGAUUAAGAACUAUCUUGAAAUUUUGAUUUCUGGCCCAGAGUCUAUCAUUAUACUUCCAAAUUUUAUUGAGAAAAUAUUUGAAGCCAAAGAGAGACUUUCAUUUUGUUGACUUUAAAAGAAGCACUAUUCGUAUUCAUCCAACAAAUAUUCAUUUAUCACUUGCUCACGUAAACAGCCCUCUGCUAGGUACAAUGGUGAAGCCAGGUAAGUACAAAAUCUCUGUCCCUAGGCUGUCUGUAAUCUAGAUAAGGGGGAGGUGAGCAUACCUGUAGAGGUAAAUAUCAAUGGAGGGGGUACUUGAUCAAAAUCAACUUUUUUGAGGGUUAUUUCAAAGGGAUUUAUGGCUAAGUCUUGGACAAUAUAGAUUACAGAAAGAUAGAGGUGAGAGAGAGAGACAGACAGACAUUGAGAGUGAGAGCAAGAAAGAGAAGAAUGAGAAGGAAUGAGAGAAGGGAAUGAGCUUGAAGCUGACCUUGAGAUUGGGUAGGAUUUGAACAGUCAGAGAUGAGGCCAAUUCCAGGAGGGAGAGAAGGUCUGAGUGGAAAAGAGAAGGCAAAGAUAGUCCAGGCGUGUUGUAAGAAGGGGAGGCAAUUAGCCUGAGGUUAGCAGGGAACUGUCCAGGUACAUCCUUGGGGUCUAAGGUAGAAAGAGGAAGGGAGGGUUACAGGUCACAGACUAUAAAUGUGUCUUCACACAUCCACUUGGACCAGGCUCAUCCUAGACUUCUCAUGGUCAUCCUGGGGAGGCCAUCAUCUGUCCCUUACAAAGUGGAUUUUACAGGCAACUCAGUCCCAUGCCAUCCUCUUGAGAUGUGUAUUUUGAAAGAAACGUGGUUACCAACUUCUCUCAGGCACUGGAAAAAACCAUUCACUGCAUGCAUAUUGGUGACUAGCGCAGUUCUGUCCAUUUCCCAGAACUUUUACUGUUACUGGAAUGCCUGCCUCCUCUUCACUCCCUUUCCCAAGGUCAUGAAGCCUGCCAGGAUGCUGCCAUGGUAAGAAACUGAGGCAAGGUUCUGAGGACAACCAGUGAUUGAGAGGCUGUUUGAUUUCUCCUUCCUAUAGCUUCUAAUCUUGUUCCUCAGUGAUUUGUGUCCUCUACUUAUUUGGGAUGCAAACCCUCAUGGUAGGGCCUGGGAUGCACUCCCAGCUUUGUGUAGCGCCUGGAUAGCCAAAGAUAUAGCCUAGGGAAAGGUUUCUUAGACACCAAAUAACAUGUAGAUGAUUUAUACAUAAAUGAGUCAGAAAUAUGGAGAUUAAGUUUUCGCUGAGAUGCACAUGAAUUAAGGAGAAAAGUGUUUGAGGCAAUUUAAAAAGAAAUGCCAUGAAACUUAAAGCAUAUGGAAAAUAAUACAAGAUGUUGGAGAAAUCUCUAAAUGGAUUGGGUUUGGUCUAACAAGUCCUUGGAGCCCCUCCCCAUUUUACAAAAAUCUCAUGAUUUAAAGGAAUUAACUUGACUUUAGAGACUGGCUGAAAAGGGUCUAUGGCUCCAGCUUUGACUGGCUCAUCCCCAGUCUAAUUGUUCAGAUAUUUUUUUUUUACCUUGUUCUGUGGUUCAUGUCUAAAUACUCGAAGAUGUUUAUAUUGCAUACAUUCGGCUCUAAUUGGCCCUUAAAAGAAGGUGUUGAUUAGAAUCUGCUCAACAUCAACAGCUAGCUCACACAACAUUCUGUAAUUACUGUUUAUUAAUUUAGUUCAAGUGGCAUAGUUGAAAGCCCUGUUCAGAUGGGAGAAGUAAAUUGUCACUGGUAUUGAAUAUGUAAAUUAUGUGCAUUGUAAAUUUCCAUGAAGAAAUGUUUAAAGUUAAAUGCUGUGCACAUAAACCCUUCCGGUUUUAUCUAACCCAGCCCUUGGAGUCGAAUCAGGUCUUCACUCAGAAAGCACACGGCAGAGCAACCUGUGGGGGCUAUGCCAUUGCCCCAGGGUGGUGCAUCUUACCUAGAGUUCGUAAAAUGAGAUCUUGUAAUCAAGUUUUGUUGUGUGUGUUCCCUUUUUUUAUGAAACAAGUCAACGCUAAUGUGCCCUCUUUAUCCUUGUUCACAAAGCCCUUCUGUGGAGUUCCCCAGCAGAUUUUCUAAGAAUGUUUGGCAAUCUAGCAAAUUCCUCUCUUUCCCUGAGGAAGCUUCUAGAUGCUGUUGGGUGGCAUGCUGAAAACAACAGGAAUUGAAGACAGCUUUUCUUCAGCAAAUAGCUGAAAUAAGUUACUGUGAAUGUGUGGGGUUUUUUCUUCCCCUGGAGCAUUAAAGAAGAUGGCAGGAACUGGGACAUACUCACUAGUUGGGCUUGUUUCCUGAAGCCCAAACACUGUGAUCUCAGGAAGCUGUAUUAAAGGCUCUGCAGCUCUUCCCAGGAGAGGGUGUGGCUUAAUCUGGUUGGGAUAACCUUAUUAUACCAAAGAUUGUCUUGGAUUCUUGCUGUAUUAAGGUUGAAUUAAGUGAAAUUUUUCUUUAAACAUCAACCAAAACAUUUUUCUUUUUUCUGUCUUAAUGGUGCUUUGGGCAAGUUACUUAAUUGAUCUAUUCCUUGGAUUCCUUACCUAUAAAAUAGAAAAAAUAGUGGUACCAAUUUCAUGAAUGGAAUGCAAAGAUUAAGUGAAAUAAUACCUGUAAGAUGCUUAAAAGACAGCUUGCCAAUAGUUUAGGGACAAUACAUGUUAACUAUUAUUUGUUCCUGUAAAAUUUUACGUGGUUACAACUGAACCCCAGAAUGCUUUUGUAUGUUAUUAUAAGAUUUCCUUUUGUAGAAAUUUCUGAUUAUUUGAGAGAAUCUUAAAUUUACAACUAGUCCAAAAAGAUACUUUUAAAAAAUUAGGGAUGAAAACCAAAGGUUUUUGUAAGCAUGAAAAUUUAAUUAUUAUUUUAGUCUUUCUUAAGGUUGAAAAGAGUAGUUGAGGCAAAAAGUACAUCUGGCUCCUCUGCCACUGAAGCCCACACGUGCCCAUUUGGGGGGCUUUCUGUCUUUGUAUAAGUUUUUCAGCCCAGAUGUUGGAUGUUUUCAAUUUUGCAGAAUCUGACUAUAAAUGAACUGAAAAAAAAAAUGGCCCAACUGUUACUGG